rnacentral:rRNA from 1 species
UACGUAGGUGGCAAGCGUUGUCCGGAUUUAUUGGGCGUAAAGCGCGCGCAGGUGGUUCGUUGCGUCCGAGGUGAAAUCUCCCGGCUCAACUGGGAGGGGUCUUCGGAUACGGGCGGACUUGAGGAGAGCAGAGGUAGGCGGAAUGCUGGGUGUAGUGGUGAAAUGCGUAGAUAUCCAGCGGAACACCGGUGGCGAAGGCGGCAUCCUGGACCGAAACUGACGCUGAGGCGCGAAAGCCAGGGGAGCAAACGGG